UACGUAGGGUGCGAGCGUUGUCCGGAAUUAUUGGGCGUAAAGAGCUCGUAGGCGGUCUGUCGCGUCUGCUGUGAAAUCCCGAGGCUCAACCUCGGGCUUGCAGUGGGUACGGGCAGGCUAGAGUGCGGUAGGGGAGACUGGAAUUCCUGGUGUAGCGGUGAAAUGCGCAGAUAUCAGGAGGAACACCGAUGGCGAAGGCAGGUCUCUGGGCCACUACUGACGCUGAGAAGCGAAAGCAUGGGGAGCGAACAGG
rnacentral:rRNA from 1 species